UACGAGGGGGGCGAGCGUUGUUCGGAAUUAUUGGGCGUAAAGGGUGCGUAGGCGGUUUGGUAAGUCUUAUGUGAAAUCUAUGGGCUCAACUCAUAGUCUGCAUGAGAAACUGCCGGGCUUGAGUAUGGGAGAGGUGAGUGGAAUUCCUGGUGUAGCGGUGAAAUGCGUAGAUAUCAGGAGGAACACCUGUGGUGUAGACAGCUUACUGGACCAUGACUGACGCUGAGACACGAAAGCGUGGGUAGCAAACAGG
rnacentral:rRNA from 1 species